GACGAACGCUGGCGGCGUGCUUAACACAUGCAAGUCGAACGGAAAGGCCCUGCUUUUGUGGGGUGCUCGAGUGGGGAACGGGUGAGUAACACGUGAGUAACCUGCCCUUGACUUUGGGAUAACUUCAGGAAACUGGGGCUAAUACCGGAUAGGAGCUCCUGCUGCAUGGUGGGGGUUGGAAAGUUUCGGCGGUUGGGGAUGGACUCGCGGCUUAUCAGCUUGUUGGUGGGGUAGUGGCUUACCAAGGCUUUGACGGGUAGCCGGCCUGAGAGGGUGACCGGCCACAUUGGGACUGAGAUACGGCCCAGACUCCUACGGGAGGCAGCAGUGGGGAAUAUUGCACAAUGGGCGGAAGCCUGAUGCAGCAACGCCGCGUGCGGGAUGACGGCCUUCGGGUUGUAAACCGCUUUCGCCUGUGACGAAGCGUGAGUGACGGUAAUGGGUAAAGAAGCACCGGCUAACUACGUGCCAGCAGCCGCGGUGAUACGUAGGGUGCGAGCGUUGUCCGGAUUUAUUGGGCGUAAAGGGCUCGUAGGUGGUUGAUCGCGUCGGAAGUGUAAUCUUGGGGCUUAACCCUGAGCGUGCUUUCGAUACGGGUUGACUUGAGGAAGGUAGGGGAGAAUGGAAUUCCUGGUGGAGCGGUGGAAUGCGCAGAUAUCAGGAGGAACACCAGUGGCGAAGGCGGUUCUCUGGGCCUUUCCUGACGCUGAGGAGCGAAAGCGUGGGGAGCGAACAGGCUUAGAUACCCUGGUAGUCCACGCUGUAAACGGUGGGUACUAGGUGUGGGGUCCAUUCCACGGGUUCCGUGCCGUAGCUAACGCUUUAAGUACCCCGCCUGGGGAGUACGGCCGCAAGGCUAAAACUCAAAGGAAUUGACGGGGCCCCGCACAAGCGGCGGAGCAUGCGGAUUAAUUCGAUGCAACGCGUAGAACCUUACCUGGGUUGACAUGGAUCGGGAGUGCUCAGAGAUGGGUGUGCCUCUUUUGGGGUCGGUUCACAGGUGGUGCAUGGCUGUCGUCAGCUCGUGUCGUGAGAUGUUGGGUUAAGUCCCGCAACGAGCGCAACCCUUGUUCACUGUUGCCAGCACGUUAUGGUGGGGACUCAGUGGAGACCGCCGGGGUCAACUCGGAGGAAGGUGGGGAUGACGUCAAGUCAUCAUGCCCCUUAUGUCCAGGGCUUCACGCAUGCUACAAUGGCUGGUACAGAGAGUGGCGAGCCUGUGAGGGUGAGCGAAUCUCGGAAAGCCGGUCUCAGUUCGGAUUGGGGUCUGCAACUCGACCUCAUGAAGUCGGAGUCGCUAGUAAUCGCAGAUCAGCAACGCUGCGGUGAAUACGUUCCCGGG
rnacentral:rRNA from 1 species